GGGAUUGCCUCAGUAACGGCGAGUGAAGCGGCAACAGCUCAAAUUUGAAAGCUGGCCCCCCCGGGGGUCCGCGUUGUAAUUUGUAGAGGAUGAUUCGGCGAGGGCUCCCGCCUAAGUCCCCUGGAACGGGGCGUCAUAGAGGGUGAGAAUCCCGUAUGCGGUGGGCUGCCUUAGCCAUGUGAAUCUCCUUCGACGAGUCGAGUUGUUUGGGAAUGCAGCUCUAAAUGGGAGGUAAAUUUCUUCUAAAGCUAAAUACCGGCCAGAGACCGAUAGCGCACAAGUAGAGUGAUCGAAAGAUGAAAAGCACUUUGGAAAGAGAGUUAAAAAGUACGUGAAAUUGUUGAAAGGGAAGCGCUUGCAGCCAGACUUGUCCGCAGUUGCUCAGCCGGUCUCCUGACCGGCGCACUCUUCUGCGGCCAGGCCAGCAUCAGUUCGGGCGGUCGGAUAAAGGCCCCGGGAACGUAGCUCCUCUCGGGGAGUGUUAUAGCCCGGGGUGGAAUGCGGCCAGCCUGGACUGAGGAUCUCGCUUCGGCUAGGAUGCUGGCGUAAUGGCUGUAAGCGGCCCGUCUUGAAACACGGACCAAGGAGUCUAACAUCUAUGCGAGUGUUUGGGUGUCAAACCCAUGCGCGUAAUGAAAGUGAACGGAGGUGGGAACCCUCGCGGGUGCACCAUCGACCGAUCCUGAUGUCUUCGGAUGGAUUUGAGUAAGAGCAUAGCUGUUGGGACCCGAAAGAUGGUGAACUAUGCCUGAAUAGGGUGAAGCCAGAGGAAACUCUGGUGGAGGCUCGCAGCGGUUCUGACGUGCAAAUCGAUCGUCAAAUUUGGGUAUAGGGGCGAAAGACUAAUCGAACCAUCGACUACUAGGUGGUUAAGAGGUGGCUGAAAGUGCCCACCUAGUCCCCCCGUCCUCGGACGGGGGGGCGACAUCGCCAAAUUGCGGGGACUCCCUUAGAGCCUCUACUACCGCGGCCGGCCGAAAGGCGCGGUGCAGCACCGGGUUAAUUGCCUAGGGUACGGUAAAAAGGUAGAGGAUUGGGAAAUCCGCAGCCAAGCGCCUAAGUCCCGCGGGAUACGGCGAAGGUUCAGAGACUAGAUGGCGGUGGGUCCGGCCCGAGGGCCGGGCCUAAGGUAUAGUCCACCCCCCGCGGAGACGC
rnacentral:rRNA from 1 species